UUUUUUUUUUUUAAGUUGAACAGUUGACUCUCUCCUAGUUGUUCCAGUCGCCUGCUGAAAGGGUGCUGGGAUCUGUGUGAUUUCCCGUGCAGAGACCCACUGUGCUGGCUGAAACAAAGGUGCUGCCUGGGAAUCUCCUGGCCAGCUUAAAAGGGCAACCAGACCAGUGUAUUUUGUACGAAGAGCUGCCGCACUGGCACGCCAGCAAAACAGCAGCUCUGGUGACCCGCAGGGCUUCUCCGCCUAGCAAUCUCCAGGUCUUUGGGCAAUAAAGAUCUGUCUGGAAAUGCAGCAUCCACUCACCUUCUGUGCUUCCACUGGGAUCUGCAAUCCUGAGCUGCUCCUAAAAGAAUAUUUACAUCUGUUGGAUUUGGUGCACUGGAGUGAAGAGAGAGAUGAUUUAUCUCCAAGAUCAUAUUAAGUCCUAGGUAAUCCGAUUAUGGAGAAUUUGAAGAGUUAACAAAAGAUGCAUAUCCUUAAUUCCUAUGGGGUAUACCUUCAUUCCUUCAUACUUGCAGAGAGGAGACCACACAAAAAAGAGACAUCUGCUUCCCUCCCUACAGCACUGGUAUUAAUGAAAACUGUGGAGUCUUCUGAGAAUGAAGCUAGCUGA
rnacentral:lncRNA from 13 species